rnacentral:tRNA from 1 species
GCCUAUAUAGCUCAGUCGGUAGAGUGUCACCUUGGUAAGGUGGAGGUCAGCGGUUCAAUCCCGCUUAUAGGCUCCA